ACCCGUCCAAAACUAUUCCAACAUGCUGACGAGCUGCUUUUAGUUAUUCUUUUUUCAGAGUUCGGGUUGGAAGUUGCCACAGUUUAUUUUAUUUUUUACACAGAAAGGAGGAGCCAGCGUUCAAAACUGCGCGCAUGCUAUUUUGUUCUGAAAAUUUGACUGGCCACCUUCAAUAACGCGAAUAAGAGGCUAAAGUCUAUCAAUGCAGACAACUGAUCAAUAAAUUUAGCAUGUGAUUAUCACCUACAAACGAUUGAGAUGAAAACGUUGAUUGACCAAGUGGCUCGCAAUCUAAACUCUAAUUCUGGAUUACGACCCAAAAUCGCAUAUA
rnacentral:lncRNA from 1 species